rnacentral:rRNA from 1 species
AUUGAACGCUGGCGGCAGGCCUAACACAUGCAAGUCGAGCGGAUGAAGGAAGCUUUCUCCUGUAUUCAGCUGCGGACGGGUGGGUAAUUCCUAGGAAUCUGCCUGGUAUUUGGGGAUAACGUCCGUAAACGGGCGCUAAUACCGCAUACGUCCUGAGGGAGAAAGUGGUGGAUCUUCGGACCUCACGCUAUCAGAUGAGCCUAGGCCGGAUUAGCUAGUUGGUGGGGUAAAGGCCUACCAAGGCGACGAUCCGUAACUGGUCUGAGAGGAUGAUCAGUCACACUGAAACUGAGACACGGUCCAGACUCCUACGGGAGGCAGCAGUGGGGAAUAUUGGACAAUGGGCGAAAGCCUGAUCCAGCCAUGCCGCGUGUGUGAAGAAGGUCUUCGGAUUAUAAAGCACUUUAAGUUGGGAGGAAGGGAAGUAAGUGAAUACAUUGAUGUUUUGACGUUACCAAAAGAAUAAGCAACGGCUAACUUCGUG